UGGGGAAUAUUGGACAAUGGGCGCAAGCCUGAUCCAGCAAUGCCGCGUGUGUGAAGAAGGCCUUCGGGUUGUAAAGCACUUUUAUCAGGAGCGAAACGCUGUCGGCUAAUACCCGGCGGAACUGACGGUACCUGAGGAAUAAGCACCGGCUAACUUCGUGCCAGCAGCCGCGGUAAUACGAAGGGUGCAAGCGUUAAUCGGAAUUACUGGGCGUAAAGCGUGCGUAGGCGGUUUCUUAAGUCUGCUGUGAAAUCCCCGGGCUCAACCUGGGAAUGGCAGUGGAUACUGGGAGGCUAGAGUGUGUCAGAGGGUGGUGGAAUUCCCGGUGUAGCGGUGAAAUGCGUAGAGAUCGGGAGGAACAUCAGUGGCGAAGGCGGCCACCUGAGACAACACUGACGCUGAGGCACGAAAGCGUGGGGAGCAAACAGGAUUAGAUACCCUGGUAGUCCACGCCCUAAACGAUGCGAACUGGAUGUUGGUCUCAACUCGGAGAUCAGUGUCGAAGCUAACGCGUUAAGUUCGCCGCCUGGGGAGUACGGUCGCAAGACUGAAACUCAAAUGAAUUGACGGGGUCAUAGCUGUUUCCUG
rnacentral:rRNA from 1 species